GGGGGUAUAUCUCAGCUGGGAGAGCGCUUGAAUGGCAUUCAAGAGGUCAGCGGUUCGAUCCCACUUAUCUCCACCA
rnacentral:tRNA from 1 species